AAGCUUAGCCAACUCUCCUUGACCCCUGAAGCUGUGUAGGAGGUAGGCUCUGAAUGGUGAGAUGAGAUCAUUACCCUGCGUUUUGGGCUAUUUGGGACAUGAACUUUAAAAGCUGGGAAACAUUAUUCUACAGAGUCCUCAGAAGAGAAGCAGGAUCUGAAAGUUAGAAGAAGUCAGUACCUGAAAGGUUCCCAUGGAGUUUGAAAAGACCAUCAAAUCCAAAUCCCCGAUUUUACAGGUGAGGGGGUACUGGUGAAUGACCAGGGAACGAGCAAGAAGUCAUCCUCUAGUUCUACUAUAGAGAAUUAAAACACGCCUGUAGGAAGCUGGGACCAAUCCGAGGGCAUUGGCUCAAUGGGCCUGAAGGAAGACAUUGCAAUGGAGGGUUUCAGGACCGCAAAAGCAGAUUCCUCAUGCUGUUCCAGAUGAAUUCUGAGUCCACGGUUCUUCAG